AGCUAAUAGAUACCCAGGUAGUCCAUGCCGUAAACGUUGGGCACUAGGUGUGGGGGACAUUCCACGUUUUCCGCGCCGUAGCUAAACGCAUUAAGUGCCCCGCCUGGGGAGUACGGCCGCAAGGCUAAAACUCAAAGGAAUUGACGGGGGCCCGCACAAGCGGCGGAGCAUGCGGAUUAAAUUCGAUGCAACGCGAAGAACCUUACCAAGGCUUGACAUGGACCGGAUCGCCGCAGAAAUGUGGUUUCUCCUUUUGGGGCCGGUUCACAGGUGGUGCAUGGUUGUCGUCAGCUCGUGUCGUGAGAUGUUGGGUUAAGUCCCGCAACGAGCGCAACCCUCGUUCCAUGUUGCCAGCGCGUAAUGGCGGGGACUCAUGGGAGACUGCCGGGGUCAACUCGGAGGAAGGUGGGGACGACGUCAAAUCAUCAUGCCCCUUAUGUCUUGGGCUUCACGCAUGCUACAAUGGCCGGUACAAAGGGUUGCGAUACUGUGAGUGAGCUAAUCCCAAAAGCCGGUCUCAGUUCGGAUUGGGGUCUGCAACUCGA
rnacentral:rRNA from 1 species